rnacentral:tRNA from 1 species
GCCGGGAUGGUCUAAUCGGUUAAGGCGUCGCCCCGGACAGGCUAGGGUUGCGGGUUCAAUCCCCGCUCCUGGCC